AGCCGUGUGAUGAGCACAGAGCGAACUAUUCUUUCGCCUUUUACUAAAGAAUACCGUGUGCUCGUCACCUUAAGCGGCAUACGCCAAUUUUUGGAAGGGCAUUCCUCGUUGAAUGCCU
rfam:Gossypium arboreum cultivar AKA8401 contig_6811_3, whole genome shotgun sequence.